rfam:Triticum aestivum genome assembly, contig: Triticum_aestivum_CS42_TGACv1_scaffold_000053_1AL
CAACUACUCCCUCCAUCCCAAAUUGCUUGUCUUAGAUUUGUCUAGAUACGGAUGUAUCUAAUACUAAAAUGUGACUUGAUAUAUCAGUAUCUAGACAAAUCUAAGAUAAGAUUUUGGGACGGAGGGAGUACUUU